AUGGUCGGGGAGAAGACUCGCGAACUGGAGUUGAAGAAGAUGAAGACGAUGCAGAGGGGUUCGUCGUCGUUCACACCUCCGCCCGGCUGGAUCCAAGGUGACUGGCCGCCGUCCACGGUGACCGAGGAGACGGUGCAGAGGUUAUAUCGAAACAUGGAUGGAGGUUCCCGGCCGCCAACAACCUCCAUCCCAAGUCGGCGCACUGUCGGAGAAGAUGAAGAACCAGAUGAUGAAACUGAUGAAGACGACACGGAUGAAAGCGAAGAUGAAGUGGAAUAUUUUCCCUCCCCAGACGCCAUUCGGGAGGGUCGAACCAAGAGGAACCAAGAUCCGAUUGGAGUCGCACCAACCACUCGGGCAACCAAGCGUGCCCGUGUGGAAGGAGAGCAACAAGCAUCUCCUUCUCCAACCAAAGGAAACAGAUCGGUUAAAGUCAUAACACAAAAACCUCGGAAGGCUGCCGCUCUGCCAAGGAUGAGGAAACCGAUGGUGGUCCCUUCUGCAAGCUUGACCAGCCAAGAAACUGAAAAUACUACGGAUAGAUCCAAGGGGAUGCUCGACGCUGGUGUUGUGUCUUCGAAAGCCGCUAAAGAAGUGAACCCCGCAAUAGAGCUUGACUCGGGCCAUGAGCAAGCUCGCAACUCAGACGAAAUCCCUCCAAGCCCAAGUCAAAGCUCAAUCCCCAUGGAUACUGCUCCUGAUAAAUCUCUGAAGAUUCUUUUGAGUGAGUCGAUUCAGACACCGACUGCACCAGAGCCAAUAAGCCCGAGCACACUGGCAGUGACAUCUCCUCGUCAAAAUAAAACUCCAUCCAUUUCGUCUACGUCGUUCUCCCUGGCACGGUCCCCAGAGGACGAAGUGGGCGCAGGCAAGGAGGCCAUGCUGCAGGCCGAGCAGAUGGAGACUAAGUUGAAGGAGUUGCUCAUAUCGAACGAAACCUUGAAGACCAACAUCCGAAAAACUUGUGAACUUGGAACCAAAUACUUAGGUUUACAAAAGGAGUUGGAGAAGGUACGCCAAGAGCUUGAUGAAGAACAAGCCAAGACCAUUCGGCUUGAAAAGGAGAAAAUUGCUAUGGAAGAAUUCGUGAAGAAAACCCUGGAAGAGAAAGACACUUCUCUUGCCAAAGCCAGGGUGGAAGCUGAUGCUAUGACCAAGAAAGCCGACGAUAGGUUGGAGGAGCUCCAAGAGGCCAGAGAGAUGAAUGAUAACUACCUAAAGGUGGCGGAGGACAUGAAGACGCAAAUCGAAGCACUAAAAGCAUCUGAGUCUGAAUGGCAUACCAAAUAUGUGAAAACGUCUGAUCUUGCAGAAAUGACCAAAAUGAAGUAUGAAAAGGAUCUUGGUGAGCUCAAGCAAGGAAUGUCCCACACGGAAACCUUCUUGGUGGGCCAGCUAGAUGAGAUUAAGCAGAGGCCUAAGGUGUUUUGUCCCAAUCUGAUCAUGGAGGAUCAUAAAGUGCAGAAGGAGCUGGAGAAGGUACGCCAAGAGCUUGACGAAGAACAAGCCAAGACCAUUCGGCUUGAAAAGGAGAAAACUUUUAUGGAAGAAUUCGUGAAGAAAACCCUAGAAGAGAAAGACACCGCUCUUGCCAAAGCCAGAGAGGAAGCUGAUGCUAUGACCAAGAAAGCCGACGAUAGGUUGGAGGAGCUCCAAGAGGUCAGAGAGAUGAACGAUAACUACCUGAAGGCGACGGAGGACAUGAAGAAGCAAAUUGAAGCUCUAAAAGCAUCUGAGUCUGAAUGGCAUACCAAAUAUGUGAAAAGGUCUGAUCUUGCAGAAAUGACCAAAAUGAAGUAUGAAAAGGAUCUUGGCGAGCUCAAGCAAGGAAUGUCCGACACUGAAACCUUCUUGGUGGGCCAGCUAGAUGAGGUUAAGCAGAGGCUUGAGGUGUUUUGUCCUGAUCCGAUCAUGGAGGAUCAUAAAGUGCAGAAGGAGCUUGAAGCAUAUGGUAUCGAUAUCAAAGAAACCCCUUGGGCAUCCACUCGGGUUGCUGAGGCUAUAAUCCGACUAGAAGAACGAGCAGAAGUAGCAAAAAGCGUCAUAGCCCAAGUGAGAAAAUCCAUGAAGGGCAUCAAUGCAAUUCUGCAUCCUGGAGAAGAGGUCGAUGAAGCUCUACCCAUUUGUUUACAACAACUUGAGCAAGUGCCUGGCCGGGUAUUGAGGUGUAAGAAAUCUGCUGCUCGCUGUGGAGCUAAUGUAGCUCUAGCUCUCACUCGGGUUCACUUCCCCAAGAUAAAUGAAGCGAAGUUGCAGAACAUUGGCGUGGGGAAUCCGGAGGGUGAUAACUUUGAGGACCACAUGAAAACUUUCAUCGGAACCGCCAAUCAAAUUGCUUCCCUCAUCGACCUGGACCUGUCUGUUGAGCCGGCUAGAGUGCCAGACACAUCGGAGGAGGAGCUCGUACAAGACGAAGAGAAAAACAAGUGA
rnacentral:rRNA from 1 species